AUGUGUGUUGAUUAUCGUUCUCUGAAUGAGGUAACCAUUAAGAAUAAGUAUCCUUUGCCUAUGAUAAAUGAUCUGUUUGACCAGUUGGAGGGAGCUACUGUGUUUUCUAAGAUUGAUCUUCGUUCUGAUUAUCAUCAAUUAAAGAUUCGUGAGGAAGAUAUUCCAAAGACUGCUUUUACUACGAGGUCUGGGUUGUAUGAAUAUACUGUUAUGUCAUUUGGAUUGACUAAUGCUCCUGCAUACUUCAUGAAUAUGAUGAACAAGGUGUUUAUGGAGUUCUUGGAUAAAUUGUGGUUGUUUUCAUUGAUGAUAUAUUGGUGUUCUCCAAGAAUAAGCAAGAGCAUGAGGUGCAUCUGCGUUUGGUAUUGGAGAAAUUGA
rnacentral:rRNA from 1 species